CCCUUUUUCUUUUGUUCUUUUUCUUCUCCUCUUUUUUUUUUCUCUCUCUCUUCUUUUUUCCUUCUCCUUUUUUCUUCCUUCCCAUCCCCAACCUACCCGCUUUCCGGGGGCCAUUCUAGGCUCCCCCAUGCCGCACUCCGGGGCGGGCGGCAGGUGCGCAGUAGAGGCCGUGCAGGAGCUGCAGGCUGCAGCCAUUGUCUACGUUUUCCGUAGCUGCCGGGCGGAGAGAGGUGCUGUCAGGCGCGUCCCUUUCCACUGCAGAAAAGCGGGGCUUCUCUGGGUGUCUCCUUGCAGAGCAGUUACCGCUCCUGAGCGAGUAGCGCUCACAAGCGCGUUAAUAUAACCUUCCCCGUUCUCCAGCGCUUUUCCCCCGAGGUAACAGCCGCAAGGCAGUGCUCUGCCUGGAGCCGCGGAGCUCCCGGGCGGGGGGGAGCGGGGCAGAGAGACUGAGUCUGGGCCCGGCAUCGCUCCGAGCCGCUCCCCGCCGGGGGGAACGGUGCCCCGCGCCGGCCGCUUUUUUUUUUUUUUUUUUCCCCCCAGUUUUUCCUCCUCAGAAGCGCGGCGAGAACGAAGGCUGGGGCGGGGGCGGCAGCCGCGGGACCACGGAUCCCGCUCGCCGGGAGCGCCUCCAGCGCGGGGCCGGGCGGCAGCGACAGCACUGGAACGGGCGUGGGGAACCGCCGGGACACGGGGACGUGUCAGCACGGCCCGCUGGGAAGAGACGCUCCUCCGCUCUCAGUCCCCAGCGGAUAAGUCUGCCGCGUGCCCGAGGUUUCGGGAUUGCUCCUUUCAGAUAGUGGGGGAUGUGUAAAGUGCAGUAGUUGGGGCACGGUGUCCCGACAGAGCAGCAGCUGUCACCCAACAGCUCUAUCCCAGGGCACUCAAGAUUGUCCCGAGCUUAUGGCACUUAAACCUUCAGUCUUAGAAUUGUUUCUUGUGUUUUACCAUCUCACUUCUAAACAAACACUCGCAUCUCAUUUCCUGCGCCCCGUGAGCAGUCGCAUAUGAGUAACUGUUCUGCAGCUUUUAUUUUCUCUUACUGGGAAGCUUUCAGAGCGGUACAGGAAGACAGUCAGCCCUGGCUUUGAAUAACGAAGCUGUAUUUUCUUCCAGAUGGACUUGUCGGUAACUGCCGGGGAAAGCUGAAAAACAAGAAAAAAUACUGUUUUUUUUUUUUUCCAUCUGAUAUGAUUGUAACUAAAAGUUUGGGGUGAUUUCUAGCCAAAUUCACACCAAGGCGGUACUCACAGACUGAGGAAAGGGCAGAGAAAACCGUGAGGUUUCCAAGGGCUGAGGAAACCACGUGUUGCAAAUGUGAGGGAAAUAAAGGUAGAGACACGUGGCGCUGCCGGCACCGUGGCUGUGCAGUGGGUGUGCAGCGUUGGUCCCGGUCCACAGCGAGCAGCCUGGCACUGAGCUGGCUGCAGGGCUCCUGCUGACAGGUCACAGUGGGGCCGAGCCUUCGGUGGCUGCUGCAGGCUUGCAGCCGUGAGUGCGCAGUGAUAGAGCUGCGCUGCCCCGGCGGGCUGUGCUCGCACCCGCAGAUUGUUUCAUUUUACUUCAGUUCUGGGACGUAUAAAAAUUGCAUGGAGGCUUGCUAUAUGAAAACAUGAUUUCAAGCUGAUGAUGAGUUAAAAAAAGUAUCCAGGAAGGGAAAUAUAGUGAGUAUUUAUAGAUCCUUCGCAGUGACAUCUUUCAGCGGUCGUCACUGAGUUGCACCUCCGCAGAUGUGAUCUCGGUGAAGCAGUGAAGCAGGCUAUCAGGCUUUCAGGCCACCGACUGAAAGCACAACUCCGUGUGCCCUGCAGUUUGCAUUCCCCACCUUUUGGUGCCUACAGAGAUCAAUGAAUCCGCUAUCCUGGAUCUAGUGCUGCCUCCUCGCCACCAGUCAGUGAUGGGGAAAGGCAGAACGUCCUCUCGAUCAGGACUGUGCAGGAUGGUGACAGUGAGGAUGGCGAGGUGGCACCCCUGGGCUGCGGGGGCACAGACCCUGCAGGCGAGAGCCUCAUCCUUCCUUCCUCACACCUUUGCAUGCUUCCUCUGUGAGCUCAGGCACUCAGACCAAUUAAUUCCAUUAACAAAGAGUGUAAAUUAGAAGUGUCUGUGAACUGUAUUGAACCUCAAUUUGCAUGGUCUUAUUCACAACAAAAGUGGCUGCAAUUUGAUUUAAAUUAAUUCACUUUCAGAAUAAAAUAACACUGAAUAGAAUAAAAAAACUUUAGUUUUGAAUGGAUGUCUGCAUAGAAUUGUUUGUGGUUUAAUUAAUCCACUUUAAAAAUUAACUCUAUUAAUUUUCAUGGGCAUUUCCAUCUAGGUUAGCUUGCUUUGUCUCUCUCUUUCAGUCUCCUAUCAGUAAAAUGGAAGUAGUAAUAGCCUGCUAACAUUUUAAAAUCGCCGUGUUCAAUACUUUUGGUAACUGCAGCGUUUAGCCUUCCACACGGUGUGUAUGUUCCUCAAAAGCCAGGUCUUGAUUUUCUACACAUGUGCAGAAUUGUUGCCUGGCAGUGUUUUACAGGCUCUGCGCGCAGCUGUACGUGGCCACACAAGACAGAUAGCAGUGGGGAAUUAAGGCUUUGCUGUGCGUUUUGAACUCUCACCAAACAUCUCCUUGGCUUUGGUUCCGUGUUUUCUUCAAAGACUGUGGGCCAAGACUUAAGAACUGUCUAACUUUCGUCAUCUUAAUGAACGGCUUUAGUGGUGUUAAUGGGAACUAGGGCACUUUCUUUAUUAGUGGAAAUCAGGUCACUUAAUUACCUAACAAAAAUGCACAGAGCCUAGUCUCGCUGUUUUCUGCACAACAUGAAUUAUGAACUUUAAUCUGUUUUAGAGAGAGCUCUACUAAAAUGGAUGAAGCUGUAGCAGGUAUAAAAUUAUCUUUUUACAAUGGCAAUACUUAUUGUAAAAAUGAACACACUAGCAUAACUUUCUUAUUGAAAGUCAUUGCUAUUUAAAUCUUUGCAGUGAUGCAGCAUGGUUUGACUAACUCAUGGUACGUAACUAAUGAAAGGCUGGAUGAACACAUCAACACCUCCUCUGUCAAAAAUGGGAACCUUGAGAUAUUAUUAUUUUUCUAAAUCUUGGUGGGUUUUGGAUUGGAGGAAUUCUUUUAUUUCUUCCCAUCCCUCCCCCCUGACCUACUGUCGGCUUCAGCAUUUUCCUUUCUUUCUUGAGUGUUUUCACUCCAAGUGGGACUUCUUUUGUGCCUGUAUGUUGCCAAAAACUGGAGAAUUGUCAUUAUUUUAAUUUUGUUGCCAGUUGUUCUUUUAAAAUAAAAACCAAGAUGCUUUCCACAGAGUUAGGAAGGAACCAGUUUUCAGAAAGUGCUAAGGAAACAGUAGUGGCUUUAGCUGAGUUUUUCUAAAUUAGAGAAAAGUAUAAAUCAUCUUCAGGCUUCAAAUCUAGCUGUUAAUAAUAAAGCACAUCACCUAAAGCUCUAAAAAUACCCCUGUAUAUAGACUAUGCAUACAACAAAAAUAAGCAACCCUAGAUAUUCUGGCAAGAUCUGUGGUAUUUUAUUUCACUUCCUCAGUAACAGCAGUCAUUGUUGGCACCUGGAAGUGACUGUGAAAAUACAGAUCCCUGUAAAGCUAAGUAAAUAAAGGGACACACUCCAUUCUGCUUGUCGGUAGAAGAAACUGUGAUGUCUGAUAAAAUUAUUAAUGAAAAUAUUUUCUCAGUCUCUGCCAUAAAAAAUGCAUGGACAAAAUAAAUUCUCGGUAAAGUCUGUUCACAAAAUAGGCAGACAUAAAUGCAGUAAAGAGCCAGAGACUUCCACCACCACAGAAUUUAAGUUAAGGAUCUUAAGACAAAAAGGUAACCGGUUUUUCCAUGAACUGCAAGUUUCAAAUGUUGGCAUGAAUGUGUGUCCAUGAAGAGAACAGCCAUCUUAAACUGCAGAAAGUUCCCUUUUGUCCAUCACUCUUUUUCUGAGGGAAAGAAACUGCUGUUGUCUGGGUUGUUCUCAGCCUUGUGUCUUACAACUACCUGCUCUGACACAUGGCUUUCUCUAAUCCUAUAGUUAAUAUUACAUCUGAUCCUGUUGAGCUUAAUUGGGAAAUCUUGUCUUGACUGAAUAUGACUUUUGCUUGAAUAAAGAAGUUGAAGAGCUUUCUGGAAGAGCUGGGCCUAAUUCCAAUUCUCAAUUCUAAAAUAAAAGGAUACUGUCAAGCUAUUUGUGAUUUAUGAGGGCAAAUGUGUUUCUCUCCUUCAAAGUCUUAUAUUGCUUUGGCAGCAGUUUAGUUUAAGAUCUUUUCUGAUUGAUUUUAUUCUAUGUACCUUUUCUGUUUAUGCAGGAUUGAAAAUAAAUGUGCCCUUUAUUUUAGAGGAAAAGAGAUAAGACUUUCUCUUUGGGAGGAAAGCAUGUUCUCACCGGGGAUCUGAGGACACGUCAGACUAAUUGUUGGUGACUUUAAAAUUGCUCUUUCUUUGUGGUGCAAGAGACGAAAAAUUCUGUGUAGACUGAAGGCUUUCCAAAACGUUAAAUGCUUUCUUUUGCUUGGUAAGUUGUUCCUUCAUGUGUUUUAUUUCCGUGGCAGAUGUUAACCAAGGGACAUGUGAAAUUCCUGCCAGAGAACACACUGCUUUUGGUGCUCACCCGGCUGCUGGUGCUCACCUUUGACAGGAGCCGUGACUCCGUGGUGGGACCUGGGCCACGCCAGCUCUGGGGCUCGGGGUCCCUCAGAGCCCUGCUGCCUCCUCAGCCCCACUGCCUGUCAGCACUCCCGCUGCUACCACGCUGCUGAGGCCUGGUGCUGGGGGUGUCAUAGACUCAUAGACACUAUUCCACGUUUCUUCUGUUGCUUUGUUUGUCACCAUGGAAUGUAUUUUUACUGAAGAUUUUUAGUUUCCUUUUGUGAAGCUUUUUUUUUUCUUCUUCUUCCAAGCUGUCGUUCCUGUGUGGAAAGCUGGCCUCCCUGACUGUCUGCAGGCCCUGCUCCUCAGCCUUUUUUUCCUGCUUUUGAUUAUCCCUUAAUUUUCUACUACUCUUGGAGGGGCACACUCCAGCUUUGCUCCCUUCCUUUUCCCCACAUCCACCUCUGGGCCAGGCCCGAGGACAUCCUGAGGACAGCAGCUCACAGAACUUGCUUUCAAGGAGUAACUUUUCCCCAGCCAUGCAGAGGUCUUUUACAUCUUGCUUUGAUAGGCUCUCUCAUUUUCCCCACUCCCUCUCCAGUCUUUGGCCUUAACUCAGUCAGAGUCGAUCUUUUCUUCCCCCUCCCUAAAGCUCUUGUCUCCCCUGCUUCCUCAGAGGUGGCUGACAGCAUUGGUUCUUCCAGAGUUGAUGGUUUUUAAUGCAGGUGUCCUCUCUGCCUUCUUGUUUGCAGACAGGAAGGUUGCAUCCAGGUGCGGCUAACAGGUCUUCCUACCAGAGCAGUGAAUACUUGGACUCUCAUGCUUGAUAGACAAGACUUGAUGGAGGCUUCCCUCCGACUUCCCAUACACAUUCUCCUGUCUCUGUCUCUGGGCUGCUCAGCUCAUCUUUCUGGUUAACAGCUCUGACCACAUCACUCCUGUCACUCCUGCUGGCUCCCUCAUUCCCUCCCAAAACACCCUGUCUUCCCCCCUUGGUCCUUCCCAGCCCUCUGCUUCCCUCACCCUUGCCUCCUGCCUUACCAUGCUCUCUCCUCCCUUCUCCUGCUAGUCCACUAAGGCCAGAUGUAUCUGCCUUCCCUUUCACCCUGCUAGUGCAUUUCCUGUAUUACCUUCAUAUUUUUUCUGGGCCUAACUGCAGGCGCUACAAACCUGGAUAUAACUAGAUAUGUCCAUGUCCAUAAGCUGCCAAAAAUUUCCCCACAGCCUUGGAACUCGUGGUGGCUGAGACCCUCAGAUUGGGGUACUUCACACAUGUGAUUUUAUGGCAAGGUGACCUUUCAGAGUAGAAGCACUUGGACUUAAUCAGGUGUCCACCUCCUAGGUGACUCGGGUUGACACAAUCAGUGGGGGUUUUUCCGCUCCCGACAGGGGAAUUCCAAGCACCACCUGCAGCCCUGGGGUCUGUCAGGGAGGAAAGAGGUGAGAGGGAUGAGCUCCAGAGACCUCUCUGCCUUGGGUGGGGAUGAAGAGAGCGAGCAGAAGUAGAACGUUUCCUACACAGACUCUGCUGAGGAAAUGGGCAGACAAACUUUCCCACUCUGAGAGGCAGCCCAAUAGUAACAAGAACAAAGGAAAAUCUUGCUAUUCACUAUGGAGAUGAGAUUAUCACUUGGACUAAGUACUGUGCCAAUCUGAAGUAAGUCAGUGCCCACACAAGCCACUUGGAUGCCCCCACUUCUGAAACCAGAUCCCCAGCAGUGCUCAAGUGCUCAGGGUACAGUUCCAUCCAGUGUGCUGCUUUUACUAUGGUUUCAAAACUGCCAGAGCACUUGUGCUUCAUGGGUUCACCUGAAGACCAUUACUUCUGUUGUUAGCAGACCUGUGCUUCUUUAUUAAUAUACCAGAAAAUAAAAUUGCAUAAAUUA